GAAGCGAUAUCCAAAAGUUAAUUUAAGGAUAUCCUACCAGAUUGUUAUCAAACAAAUAUUGCUUAUAAGCACACAACCCCAAAUCUUAACAUGCUUAAGAUUUGUCUUUCUUUCCAACUACAUCUUAUGGAGUCAUGAAAAUAUUGGAAGAUCUUCUAAUUUACAAUCAUAUUGUUUUAGAAGUAAUAUCCUAUAUAUGGGUAACAGAUAACAUCUAACGAACUAAAUCUUAUUCGAGUUCGUUCUUCUCCUAAUGGAGAAAUACAUUUAUCUUAUGAUUGCUUAUUUCCUUGAUAUCUUUCAAGGAAAACUGUUCUAAAGUGUUACCUUAUCUUGGAUCAAAUCUAAGGAGGUAAAUACUUUAGACGUCUUACUCAUCAACUUACAUUACUUGAAUUCUUUGAAACCUUUUGCAAAGUAUUCGGACUUGUGUUUAUUUAAAAUAAACUAUAGUCCAACCGAGGGUGAUCUUCGGUGAAUGUCAUCCAACAUGAGUAGUAUUAUGUUUGUGGACAAGUGCCACUAACAUCUAAGUGAAUUAACCUCAACAACUUUGUGAUUCUUUCUUCUUUCCAAAAGAAUAAAGAUUCAAACAUUUCGCCUCUAUACAAUUUUAACAAGAAGGUAUUGGAUCCGGAUUUAACAAUCCAAAGCAUCCAUUUAUUACCAACUCGUAAUUUAUGUUUUUAGAGGAAUCACAACUUAGUUGGGAUUAGUCACUACCUUGCAACCUUUUGGGUUUUAAGCAUCAUUAUAUUCUAAACAGUUAACACUACCAUAUCAUCUCUACUAUAGAGAUAAUUAAUUAGAUUACAAUAAUCUAAUCAUUCAUUAAUAAAGAACAAUGUUUUGUCAAAUAAAACAUUUAUCCAUUUCACAUAUAGUGACGGAAUUAAAUUCCUUAAAAUUGGAAUGUAAAGACAAUCUAUGUUUUUCCAAUUUCUUUGGUAGUUCAUAUGAGAAAGUAAGUACCAUCUGCUUUCGCAGAGAUCUACAUUUGAUUCACGUUUCGAAUGUGAAGUACUUUCUCUUCUCUCAUUUAUCUUCUACUUCUUAUUAGUCACACUUUUACAACGAUUGUAAAACAUAGUUACUAAUACGGAUUCAAGCAUUCAAGUAGAAGAACCAACUGUUUUGAACUUUUCAAGAACAAUUUACAACACCUUCGAAAGGUGUGUU
rnacentral:lncRNA from 1 species